AGAUUGCAUCAGACUUGCACCUGCAUAAAUAAUAGUGAAUGAAAUAUUCAGACAAUAAAGUUCUGCAGCCAAAUUCUCAGAAACUUUCCUCUUCAAUGUAGGAUCAGGAUUUUGUAUUUAAUUUAUUUUUUUAAAGUGCUAAGCAGAAGCUACACUGUAAUGAGAGGAAACAGAAGUGAAAAACUAAGAGAAUGUUACUUAAACCAAUGAACAGAUGCAGAGAGUGGAAAUACAGCAAAGCAAACAAAUGAAUACUGUGAGUAAAUAACCUGAAAGCAAAUGGGGAAACCAUAUCAUCUCAGUAAUUGUGGCUCUUGGGACAAAGAUCAGGUUCCUGGUACCUAGCCUGGCUGGGAGCAUCUCUUAUCCCUGGAUCCCAGACCUUGGAUACAGAUUUCAUUCUCUGUGUUUUGUCCUUAUAUCACUCCUAGGAAAAGGAUCCCUAAAGGAGGUGUAAGGAUUCUGGACCCUAGUGCCUGCAAGAAGCUUCAGCCACCUUCACAGGCUAGAGCUCACCGUCCAUUGUGGAGGUGAAGACUGGAUGGGAGCUGCUGGAUUGACCUUGAUAUGCCAUGUCCUUGUGUGGAUGAAGGACCUACUUCUCAGAGAUGGCCAGCAGCAGAUGUAACACAUGUCCAUGAAUAGGCUAAACAACCUACAUUGAUAGAUCAUCAGCCACUCAGCAGAAUGCGGGAGAGCCGAGUGCUGAUGGGCUAGAGGGGUCACAGGAGUCACCGUGCAGCUGUGUAGCAGGUUCAGUGUCUGCAGUCACCAUGGGCCAAACCCUGUGCUCCAGAUGACACAGGCUGUUUCUCUGGAUUGCGAAGGGGACUUUGGCUUGGGGAAUCACUUGCUGGUGCCAGUGUCCACAACUGAGAUGUUUUCAUGAGGCUACUCAAUGGUACAUGAAGCACCAUCCAAGCAAGGGGAGAAUGGACAUUAAAGAUCAUGGCUGGGACCUCUGCGGAGCUGCUGCAGUCGAGCAUCCACAGACAGAAGAGAGACGAUGGGAAACUCACUUAGAUGGCUGGCCACAGCAGCAGCAGCAGUCUCAUAAAGCUCUGCUCAUGCUCUAGCCAACAGAGGCAGGACAAAGAGAGAGAGCCUAGGUUGCAAUUAGCACUAUGCUGUUUCUCAGUGGAUUAUGCUGUCCUGACAGUCUAUUUCCUGUAAAGUGCACAUUCAGCCU